GAUGAACGCUGGCGGCGUGCCUAAUACAUGCAAGUCGAACGCUUAGUUCCUGACGUGUGCUUGCACUCAAUUGGAGAGAGGAGGGGAGGACGGGUGAGUAAAACGUGGGUAAAGUAUGCAUCAGAGGCGGGUAACACUAGGAAACAGGUGAUAAUAUAGUAUAACAGUUUGUGCAGCAUGGAAUAAGAGUGAAAGUGUCUUUCGGGUGUGGUUCCGCGCCGCAUUAGCUAGUUGGUAAGGUAACGGCUAAGCAAGGCCACGAUGCAUAGCCGACCUGAGAGGGUGAUCGGCCACACUGGAACUGAGACACGGCCCAGACUCCUACGGGAGGCAGCAGUAGGGAAUCUUCGGCAAUGGACGAAAGCUUGACCGAGCAACGCCGCGUGAGUGAAGAAGGUUUUCGGAUCGUAAAACUCUGUUGUUAGAGAAGAACAAGUACGUUAGUAACUAUACACGCCUUGACGGUACCUAACCAGAAAGCCACGGCUAACUACGUG
rnacentral:rRNA from 1 species